rnacentral:rRNA from 1 species
AUUGAACGCUGGCGGCAUGCCUUACACAUGCAAGUCGAACGGUAACAGGUCUUCGGAUGCUGACGAGUGGCGAACGGGUGAGUAAUAUAUCGGAACGUGCCCAGUUGUGGGGGAUAACUACUCGAAAGAGUGGCUAAUACCGCAUACGACCUGAGGGUGAAAGCGGGGGAUCGCAAGACCUCGCGCAAUUGGAGCGGCCGAUAUCAGAUUAGGAAGUUGGUGGGGUAAAGGCCCACCAAGCCAACGAUCUGUAGCUGGUCUGAGAGGACGACCAGCCACACUGGGACUGAGACACGGCCCAGACUCCUACGGGAGGCAGCAGUGGGGAAUUUUGGACAAUGGACGCAAGUCUGAUCCAGCCAUGCCGCGUGCGGGAAGAAGGCCUUCGGGUUGUAAACCGCUUUUGUCAGGGAAGAAACGAGUUUCUCUAAUACAGAGACUUAAUGACGGUACCUGAAGAAUAAGCACCGGCUAACUACGUGCCAGCAGCCGCCGUAACAC